CCAAAUCCACUGAUAAAGUUUUUCCUGAAAUCAAUAUGACCAGUGUAAGUCAAAAAAUUAUUAAAUUCAGACCAAGAGAGCAAUACAUUAGUCCAAAUCAAGGCCUGACAGGAUUGUAGAAUGAGACAGUUCAUAAUUGCCUGAUGCUCAAGAAGUAAAAACCAAAGAGAAGCUAAAAGCAUUGAAAUAAAAUAUAAAAAAAAAUGGCCAAUAUCACAACUCAAAAUUCAACUAGGAAAUGUAAAUGACCAUGAAACUUUGUUUUGAUUUCCAAUAAUUUUAUUUCUAAGAUACCACAUUAGAGAUUUGACCCCUAAAAGUCAACUAUUACUUGAUCCUAAACCAUCCUUGAUACUUGCAACUUCCUCUGCCCCAAAAUUUAUAGUCCAGAAUUCCUCAUAUAGAGUUUCCAUAAUAUUUAUCCAUUGUCAUAAUUCAAAGAUAACCAUCACUAUUCAAUAAUUUUUUAACACAAGUUCAACCUUUGUGCAAAGGCCAUACCAUUAAAACACCUGUUCUCCAGCUUCUCAAUCUACCCAAACAAGCAUUUUUAGCCCACCUAAAUUACCUUAUUUUCAUUAAUUAGAUUAUUCUGUAUUUGUUUAGGGUCCAUUAGACAUAAAAUUAAGUUGAUCAAUGUUCUCCAUAAAAAAAGCCAUCAAUUGUUCUUUAUUAGUAAUCUUUUGCGAGCAUCAUGAUGAGCCCUCUUAAUCAUUUAUAAGAAUUAAGUAGGGUUGAGCAGAAAAUAAUAAUAACCGAAAAACUGAACCAAAACAUUCUAAUUUAGUUUUUCAAUUUGAUUUUUUAGUCUAAACGGUUCAGUUCGGGGUUUUUUUUUUCUUUUUUAAAUUAAGUUAUUUGGUUUGGUUAUUAAGGUAAAAAAAACCAAAAUAAUCAAAUCAAUCAAAGUUUUUUUUUAUUCCUAUAUAUGUACUGCACUUUUGGGGAAAGAAGCUACUGUUUUGUAAUCCCUAAUUUCCCCUUUUGACUAAAAUCCCUAUUGCAUCUCGCCUGUUUUGGUCUUUCUCUUGUUGCGCUAUGCCUCCUCUCUCUACCCUCCCUCACAGCCACGCUCAGUUGUCCUCUAGGCCUCCAUCACAGCAAGUUGACUAUCUUAAAUUUCUUCUUCGUUGGAACAAAGAUCCACAACUGAGCACUGAAGAGGUCAGGUUUUAGUUGUAAGUGAUAGUAUGACACUUUGGUUUUCUUUCUCAAUUUCUGGCAAGAACCUCAAAAAUAUUGAUGUGAAACCUAGUUGAAGAAUU
rnacentral:misc_RNA from 1 species